UAUUGGUCAAUGGACGAAAGUCUGAACCAGCCAUGCCGCGUGAAGGAUGAAGGCCCUCUGGGUCGUAAACUUCUUUUAUUAGGGAAGAAACCUCAGGAUGCGUCCUGAGCUGACGGUACUUAAUGAAUAAGGAUCGGCUAACUUCGUGCCAGCAGCCGCGGUAAGACGAAGGAUCCAAGCGUUGUCCGGAUUUACUGGGCUUAAAGGGUGCGUAGGCGGAAAAUUAAGUCAGUGGUGAAAGCCCGCAGCUCAACUGUGGAACCGCCAUUGAAACUGGUUUUCUUGAAUAUAGCUGAGGCAGAUGGAAUAUAACAUGUAGCGGUGAAAUGCUUAGAUAUGUUAUAGAACACCGAUUGCGAAGGCAGUCUGCUAAACUAUUAUUGACGCUGAGGCACGAGG
rnacentral:rRNA from 1 species